GCCGGAGUGGUGAAAUUGGUAGACGCAGCGGACUCAAAAUCCGCCGCCGCGAGGCGUGCCGGUUCGAUUCCGGCCUCCGGCACCA
rnacentral:tRNA from 5 species